rnacentral:tRNA from 1 species
GACGCGGUGGCUGAGUGGUAAAGCGUUUGGCUUUCGAACCGUGGUUCCGGGUUCAAAUCCUGGUGAAGUCU